AAAGCAGCAAGAAGAAAACUUCGGAAAAGAAAAGACUCUGAUGAAGAUGAAAAAGUGGUGUUCCUUAAGCAAAGUGGGAGUGAAGAUGAGUUUGAUCCAGAUACACUUCCUGAUCCCAACAAGUACAAAGACUCUGACCAAGAGGGUGAUAAAAGCAGUCAGGAAGAAAAGAGCUUGGUACAUGAAAAGGCACAGAGGAAGAGGGUGUACAGUUUAAGCAGUGACAACCAGGAGGGAGAAAACCCUCAGAAAAGGAAGAAGAAGAUAAAGCCUAGAAAAGUACAAGAGUUCACACCACUGGAUACAGGUCUCUCCUUGGCAGAAGACGAGGAGCUAGCUAUACGGCUGCUCAUGAGAUAAUUGUGUUUCCUUUGCUGUUUUAUAGUUAAUCAGUUGUACAGGGAGUUUUCAUGAAACUGAUUUAAAAUCAGUAGGUGACUACAACUGGACAUUGAUCAAUGUGUAUCCUGCAUGUUGGGACAGAUGUAAUAGUUAUUCAUGUUGUGUAAAUUUUUAAUCUGCCUUGUGCACAUGCUGGAUAGCUACUCAGACUUAGUUUUAUAAAGCAAAAAUUACUGUCAGAAUACCUGUACAUCAGCAGACAGUCUGGUAUAGAAGAUACUCUGUUACGUCAGAAGACAAAUAUGUGCCUUUUUCUUCCUUUGAAAGGAUAACUCAAAGUGCAACAUUUCCAGUAUUUCAUAUUUUAAAGAAAGUAAUGUAUUUAUGAAAAGCUGAUCAACUUGUUUAAUGUAAAGUUUAGUUAAAAUGUUUAUAGCAAAUUAUAUAUUGGUUGAUGAAAUUUUUCAAAGUUAAA